rnacentral:miRNA from 1 species
AUUUGACUGACACGGAUUCUAGGA